UCUGCAUGCCUACAGCCCUCGUGCACCCAACCCUGGGUGAGCUGAGCUGUGCAGUUCCUUUCCCCCUCCUCCAGUCCCAUCCCAGCCCCCCAGGUCCCCAGGCUGUGUUCGCAGCUGAGGAUUCACCUGCAGGAGCAGCUCCUGGCACUGCUGUGCGUGGCGGGGGCUCCCAACAGGGAGGCACGGUGCCCACGUCGGAUCGAUGGAUGCAGCGUCAGUAACUAUUUAUAUUUUUCAGCAAGCCUUUUUUUACCCCUGUAAUGGCUCCUGCGCCCGUGCGCGUGGCUGUGGGAGCUCCCUGUCCUGCCCAGCACGAAGAUGGACACAGCCCCUCUGCAAGGACGGUGUGAGCAUGCAGCAGCAGCAGCAAUGGCAGCAGCAGGCUGGGAAGCACAGCGCGGUUCCUUGAAGGGCAGUGGUGCUACGACUCGCAGGACCCGAAGUGCGGUGAGUGGGGACGGUCACAGCUCUGUUCGGUGCCUCCCUCCCCAGUGCCCGGGGGCACUUUGGAAACGCACGUAUAAUAGCUUGUAAGAGGUUAAUUAAGGAUCAG
rnacentral:lncRNA from 1 species